rnacentral:lncRNA from 1 species
CCCUGCUGCACCCCACUGCACCCCUGCUGCAUCCCACUGCAUUCUUGUUGUACCCCACUGCAACCCUGCUGCAUCCCACUGCAAUCCUGUUGCAUCCCAGUGCAACCCUACUGCAUCCCACUGCAACCCUGCUGCACCCCACUGCAAUCCUGUUACAUCCCACUGCAACCCUGCUGCACCCUCCACUGCAUUCCUGCUGCACCCCCCACUGCAAUCCUGUUGCAUCCCAUUACAACCCUGCUGCAUCCCACUGCACCCCACUGCAACCCUGCUGCACCCCACUGCAAUCCACUGCAACCCUGUUGCAUCCCACUGCAAUCCUGUUGCAUCCCACUGCAACCCUGCUGCACCCCACUGCAAUCAACUGCAACCCUGUUGCACCCCACUGCAAUUCUGUUGCAUCCCAUUACAACCCUGCUGCAUCCCACUGCAAUCCACUGCAACCCUGUUGCAUCCCACUGCAACCCUGCUGCACCCCACUGCAAACCACUGCAACCCUGUUGCAUCCCACUGCAAUCCUGUUGCACCCCACUGCAAUCAACUGCAACCCUGCUGCACCCCAGUGCAAUUCUGUUGCAUCCCACUGCAUCCCACCACAAUCCACAGCAACCUUGUCAUUCCACUGCAUCCCUCUGCAACCCUGUUGCAUUUCUACCGUGCACCCGCUGCAUCCUCACUGCACCCACUGCAACCCCACUGCAACCACACUGCAGCUGCACUGCUUCCCCACUGCCCUGCACCCCGAGGAAGGGUGAUGCCAAGCACAGAAUACAACGUUUUCUAGUGGGCUUUGCCCAUCUCCUGCAAUCCCAGCCAGAACUCUCCAGCAGGAGCAGGGAAUUGAUGCACUGCCCCAGGCUUUGCUCCCUGGAGCAGCACGUGAAAUGAAGCAGCAUUUAAUUACCCAGCAUGUCUGUCGUUUGCAAAGCUGUCAGGAUAACCACUCGCCCAUCCCCUGGGACACCCAGCCAUGCUCAGAGCUCAGUGCAGAGCAGCAGUGUGGGACAGCAGAGCCUUGCACACUUGCAAGGGGCACCAGGAGUGCUGCAAUCCAUGCACAUCUGUUGCUCUCUGCAAUAAAGCAAUGCUUUAUUGCCCUGCAGCAGGAGGAUGCCCCGAGGAUCUGCUCCUCUCCCAACAUAGGGUGCAAAAUGGGUUUGCAUGUGGGGGGGCUGUGCAGGCAGCCCCACAGAACUGCCCCACAGUUGCAGCACAGCCUUGCUGCCUUUCCCAAAGCCUCAU